rnacentral:lncRNA from 1 species
CAAAUCCGCCUUGCUCAACCCUACCAACGCCAUUCUCGCCGCCCUCUCUGCCAUUCGCGUGCCCCGUCGCCGUCUCUGCAGCGACAUUUUCCCUCUCAAACCCACUCUCUCCGCUGAAAUUUUUUGGCACCGCACUAAGCCCUAGCCACACCGUUAUCAUCGCUAUCUCCGUCAUUCUCGCGCUCCGCCGUCGUCUCGCCGUCU